GAUGAACGCUGGCGGCGUGCUUAACACAUGCAAGUCGAACGGAAAGGCUCCUGCUUGCAGGGGUACUCGAGUGGCGAAAGGGUGAGUAACACGUGGGUGAUCUGCCCUGCACUUCGGGAUAAGCCUGGGUAACUGGGUCUAAUACCGGAUAGGUCGAUGGCUUGGAUGCUAUUGUGGAAAGUUUUUUGGUGUGGGAUGAGCUCGCGGCCUAUCAGCUUGUUGGUGGGGUAAUGGCCUACCAGGGCGUCGACGGGUAGCCGGCCUGAGAGGGUGGACGGCCACAUUGGGACUGAGAUACGGCCCGGACUCCUACGGGAGGCAGCAGUGGGGAAUAUUGCACGAUGGGCGCAAGCCUGAUGCAGCGACGCGGCGUGGGGGAUGACGGCCUUCGGGUUGUAAGCUCCUUUCGCUAGGGACGAAGCGCAAGUGACGGUACCUGGAGAAGAAGCGCCGGCUAACUACGUG
rnacentral:rRNA from 1 species